UGUUAAGCAUUUCAAUGUAUAUAUAUUUCAACCUGUUUCAGUCUACUCAUACUUGCUUGACAACGAUACAAGAAUCUGUAUCGAAACGUCGCAUCAUCCGAAUAAAGAAG